AUUGAACGCUGGCGGCAUGCCUUACACAUGCAAGUCGAACGCGAAAGCGGGGCAACCCGCAAGUAGAGUGGCGAACGGGUGAGUAAUACAUCGGAACGUGUCCAGUAGCGGGGGAUAACCUCUCGAAGAGAGGCUAAUACCGCAUACGACCUACGGGUGAAGAGGGGAGUCGCAAGACCUCUCACUAUUGGAGCGGCCGAUGUCGGAUUAGCUAGUUGGCGGGGUAAAGCCCACCAAGGCUACGAUCCGUAGCUGGUCUGAGAGGACGACCAGCCACACUGGAACUGAGACACGGUCCAGACUCCUACGGGAGGCAGCAGUGGGGAAUUUUGGACAAUGGGCGAAAGCCUGAUCCAGCCAUGCCGCGUGAGUGAAGAA
rnacentral:rRNA from 1 species